GAAACCAACAGGGAUUGCCUCAGUAACGGCGAGUGAAGCGGCAACAGCUCAAAUUUGAAAUCUGGCCCUCGGGUCCGAGUUGUAAUUUGUAGAGGAUGCUUUUGGCGCGGUGCCUUCCGAGUUCCCUGGAACGGGACGCCUUAGAGGGUGAGAGCCCCGUACGGUUGGACACCAAGCCUCUGUAAAGCUCCUUCGACGAGUCGAGUAGUUUGGGAAUGCUGCUCUAAAUGGGAGGUAAAUUUCUUCUAAAGCUAAAUAUUGGCCAGAGACCGAUAGCGCACAAGUAGAGUGAUCGAAAGAUGAAAAGCACUUUGAAAAGAGGGUUAAAUAGCACGUGAAAUUGUUGAAAGGGAAGCGUUUGCGACCAGACCUUUUCCUGGCGGAUCAUCCGGUGUUCUCACCGGUGCACUUCGCCAGGUCGAGGCCAGCAUCGGUUUCCGCGGGGGGAUAAAAGCUCUGGGAACGUAGCUCCUUCGGGAGUGUUAUAGCCCUCUGCACAAUACCCCCGCGGGGACCGAGGACCGCGCUCUAAGCAAGGAUGCUGCCGUAAUGGUUGUCAACGACCCGUCUUGAAACACGGACCAAGGAGUCGAACAUUUGUGCGAGUGUUUGGGUGUCAAACCCUCACGCGUAAUGAAGGUGAACGUAGGUGAGAGCCCUUACGGGUGCAUCAUCGACCGAUCCUGAUGUCUUCGGAUGGAUUUGAGUAAGAGCAUAACUGUUCGGACCCGAAAGAUGGUGAACUAUGCGUGGAUAGGGUGAAGCCAGAGGAAACUCUGGUGGAGGCUCGCAGCGGUUCUGACGUGCAAAUCGAUCGUCAAAUCUGCGCAUGGGGGCGAAAGACUUAUCGAACCAUCUAGU
rnacentral:rRNA from 1 species